GUCGCUUCUCGGCCUUUUGGCUAAGAUCAAGUGGAGCAUGUGUUCAUUUCAGUUGAAUAUUUCCAGAAUUUCCCUCUGGGAAUUAAUAAUGUCUGUCUUAGUCUAAAAUGUUGUUAUUGCAUAAAUUCCAAAGACUCUUC
rnacentral:snRNA from 1 species